GAUGAACGCUGGCGGCGUGCCUAAUACAUGCAAGUCGAGCGAACGGACGAGAAGCUUGCUUCUCUGAUGUUAGCGGCGGACGGGUGAGUAACACGUGGAUAACCUACCUAUAAGACUGGGAUAACUUCGGGAAACCGGAGCUAAUACCGGAUAAUAUUUUGAACCGCAUGGUUCAAAAGUGAAAGACGGUCUUGCUGUCACUUAUAGAUGGAUCCGCGCUGCAUUAGCUAGUUGGUAAGGUAACGGCUUACCAAGGCAACGAUGCAUAGCCGACCUGAGAGGGUGAUCGGCCACACGGGAACUGAGACACGGUCCAGACUCCUACGGGAGGCAGCAGUAGGGAAUCUUCCGCAAUGGGCGAAAGCCUGACGGAGCAACGCCGCGUGAGUGAUGAAGGUCUUCGGAUCGUAAAACUCUGUUAUUAGGGAAGAACAUAUGUGUAAAUAACUGUGCACAUCUUGACGGUACCUAAUCAGAAAGCCACGGCUAACUACGUG
rnacentral:rRNA from 1 species